AGUAAACGGCGGCCGUAACUAUAACGGUCCUAAGGUAGCGAAAUUCCUUGUCGGGCAAGUUCCGACCCGCACGAAAGGCGUAACGAUUUGGGCGCUGUCUCAGCUGUAGACUCGGUGAAGUCUUAGUACCUGUGAAGAUGCAGGUUGCCCGCGACUAGACGGAAAGACCCCAUGGAGCUUCACUGCAGGUUGACAUUGGGCUUGGAUGCAUGAUGUACAGGAUAGGUGGGAGGCUGUGAGCCGUGCGCGCCAGCGUACGGGGAGCCGCUGUUGGGAUACCACCCUUCAUGCAUCUAGGUCCUAACCGGAGGCAACGGGCCACGGGACAGUGUCAGUCGGGCAGUUUGACUGGGGCGGUCGCCUCCCAAAGAGUAACGGAGGCGCCCAAAGAUACCCUCAGCAUGGAUGGAAACCAUGCAUAGAGUGCAAAGGCAUAAGGGUGUCUGACUGCGAGACAUACAGGUCGAGCAGGGACGAAAGUCGGGCUUAGUGAUCCGGCGGAUCCGAAUGGAAGGGCCGUCGCUCAACGGAUAAAAGCUACCCUGGGGAUAACAGGCUGAUCUCCCCCAAGAGUUCACAUCGACGGGGAGGUUUGGCACCUCGAUGUCGGCUCAUCGCAUCCUGGGGCUGUAGUCGGUCCCAAGGGUUGGGCUGUUCGCCCAUUAAAGCGGUACGCGAGCUGGGUUCAGAACGUCGUGAGACAGUUCGGUCCCUAUCUGUCGUGGGCGCAGGAGGUUUGAGGAGAGCUGCCCCUAGUACGAGAGGACCGGGGUGGACGGACCGAUGGUGCACCAGUUGUCACGCCAGUGGCACAGCUGGGCAGCCAAGUCCGGACGGGAUAAGCGCUGAAGGCAUCUAAGCGUGAAGCCCCCUCCAAGAUGAGACCUCCCAUUGGCGACAAGUAAGGCCCCUCGAAGACGACGAGGUUGAUAGGCCGCGAGUGCAAGCGCAGCGAUGUGCUUAGCGGGGCGGUACUAAUAGGCCGAGGACUUGGCCAA
rnacentral:rRNA from 1 species